AGUCNAACGGCAGCACGGGAGCAAUCCUGGUGGCGAGUGGCGAACGGGUGAGUAAUAUAUCGGAACGUGCCCAGUCGUGGGGGAUAACGCAGCGAAAGCUGUGCUAAUACCGCAUACGAUCUACGGAUGAAAGCGGGGGAUCGCAAGACCUCGCGCGAUUGGAGCGGCCGAUAUCAGAUUAGCUAGUUGGUGAGGUAAAGGCUCACCAAGGCGACGAUCUGUAGCUGGUCUGAGAGGACGACCAGCCACACUGGAACUGAGACACGGUCCAGACUCCUACGGGAGGCAGCAGUGGGGAAUUUUGGACAAUGGGCGCAAGCCUGAUCCAGCAAUGCCGCGUGC
rnacentral:rRNA from 1 species